rnacentral:rRNA from 1 species
GACGAACGCUGGCGGCGUGCUUAACACAUGCAAGUCGAGCGGAAAGGCCACUUCGGUGGUACUCGAGCGGCGAACGGGUGAGUAACACGUGAGUAAUCUGCCCCUGGCUUUGGGAUAGCCACCGGAAACGGUGAUUAAUACCGGAUACGACCACUUCUCGCAUGGGAUGGUGGUGGAAAGUUUUUUCGGCCAGGGAUGUGCUCGCGGCCUAUCAGCUUGAUGGUGAGGUAAUGGCUCACCAUGGCUUCGACGGGUAGCCGGCCUGAGAGGGUAACCGGUCACCCUGGGACUGAGACACGGCCCAGACUCCUACGGGAGGCAGCAGUGGGGAAUAUUGGACAAUGGGCGGAAGCCUGAUCCAGCAACGCCGCGUGAGGGAUGACGGCCUUCGGGUUGUAAACCUCUUUCAGCAGGGACGAGGCGCAAGUGACGGUACCUGCAGAAGAAGCACCGGCCAACUACGUGCCAGCCGCCGCGGUAA